UGUGGGAGCGAGCUUGCUCGCGAUGACGUCGGGUCAGUUACAUUGAUAGUGACUGACACUCCGCUAUCGCGAGCAAGCUCGCUCCCACA
rnacentral:misc_RNA from 1 species